rnacentral:misc_RNA from 1 species
CCGACUCAAUGCAACGUUUUAUGCCAUUGGGUUGGGUCGGUUUGUACCAUGAAUUUGCAAGCAUUUUGUAAAAUUUGGAUUGGAUUGGUUUGGAGGUAAAUGACCUCCACACCAACCAAUGAACAGCCCUACUUGUUUCCCAUUGGUGGACUUUCAGCUUGCAAUCGCCUUUGCUUUUCUGUUCCAAAUCUCAUGAUGUAAGUGUUUCUCCAUCUCUGUUGGUCGUUUUUACAGUUUUAAAACCUACUACGCCGAAGCACUGCCCUGGAUAAGUUCCAACUGCCCUGGAUAGGCUCCAACUCCUAAACUGCUAAGCCCUGGUGAUCUGGUUCAAGCCUUCGCCUUUGUUUCAUCCUUCAACGGUUCUAUGUUUCUUUUUUAGGUAACACAUUUGGUUGCUGGAAAUCAUCAACUGCCACUUAAAUUUCUUUCUUCAUCCAUGCCUUAAUCUGUAUUUCAAAUUUUUCCUUCAACAGUUAUCUG